GCAUAAACCAGGCUAUUAACUCUGACUGGAGGACUGUCCCAUUCCUUUGCUACUGAAAAUGACUAGGAACAUUAAGUCCUGAAACUAAUGCUGGGCCUUCCUGCACUGAAAAGUAAAACAAGAGU